rnacentral:rRNA from 1 species
AAUAAACGCUGGCGGCGUGCCUAACACAUGCAAGUUGAGCGGUAAGGCCCCUUCGGGGGUACACGAGCAGCGAACGGGUGAGUAUCGCGUGGGUAACCUACCCAGAAGUAGGGGAUAGCCUCGGGAAACCGGGGGUAAUACCGCAUAAGGUUUCGACGACAUAAGUCGAUGAAAGCAAAGGCGGGGAUCCUUCGGGACCUGUCGCUUCUGGAUGGGCCCGCGUCCGAUUAGCUAGUUGGUGAGGUAAUGGCUCACCAAGGCUUCGAUCGGUAGCCGGCCUGAGAGGGUGUCCGGCCACACUGGAACUGGGACACGGUCCAGACUCCUACGGGAGGCAGCAGUGAGGAAUUUUGCGCAAUGGGCGAAAGCCUGACGCAGCGACGCCGCGUGGAGGAUGAAGGCUUUCGGGUUGUAAACUCCUGUCAGAGGUGAAGAAAACCCCCUUAUGGGGGGCUUGACGGUAACCUCAGAGAAG